GCAAGUCGAACGCGAAAGUCCCGCAAGGGAUAAGUAGAGUGGCAAACGGGUGAGUAACACGUGGGUGACCUGCCCUCGAGUGGGGGAUAACGUCCCGAAAGGGACGCUAAUACCGCAUAACGUCCUGCUUUUGAACAGGUGGAGAUCAAAGCUGGGGACCCGCAAGGGCCUGGCGCUUGAAGAGGGGCCCGCGUCUGAUUAGCUAGUUGGUGGGGUAACGGCUCACCAAGGCAACGAUCAGUAUCCGGCCUGAGAGGGCGGACGGACACACUGGGACUGAGACACGGCCCAGACUCCUACGGGAGGCAGCAGUGGGGAAUUGUUCGCAAUGGGCGCAAGCCUGACGACGCAACGCCGCGUGGAGGAUGAAGACCUUCGGGUCGUAAACUCCUUUCGAUCGAGACGAACGGCCUCCGGGUGAAUAGUCCGGAGGAAUGACGGUACCGAGAGAAGAAGCCCCGGCUAACUCCGUGCCAGCAGCCGCGGUAAUACGGGGGGGGCAAGCGUUGUUCGGAAUUACUGGGCGUAAAGGGCUCGUAGGUGGCCAACUAAGUCAGACGUGAAAUCCCUCGGCUUAACCGGGGAACUGCGUCUGAUACUGGAUGGCUUGAGUUUGGGAGAGGGAUGCGGAAUUCCAGGUGUAGCGGUGAAAUGCGUAGAUAUCUGGAGGAACACCGGUGGCGAAGGCGGCAUCCUGGACCAACACUGUCAC
rnacentral:rRNA from 1 species